GACGAACGCUGGCGUCGUGCUUAACACAUGCAAGUCGAACGGAAAGGCCUGCUUUCCCUUGUGGAUUGCGGGUACUCGAGUGGCGAACGGGUGAGUAACACGUGAGUGAUCUGCCCCCAACUUGGGUAUAAGCCUGGGAAACUGGGUCUAAUUCCCGAUAGGACUGCAGGGUGGUGCCUGUGGUGGAAAACGAUUUUCUAGUGGUUGGGGAUGAGCUCGCGGCCUAUCAGCUUGUUGGUGGGGUAAUGGCCUACCAAGGCGGCGACGGGUAGCCGGCCUGAGAGGGUGGACGGCCACAUUGGGACUGAGAUACGGCCCAGACUCCUACGGGAGGCAGCAGUGGGGAAUAUUGCACAAUGGGCGGAAGCCUGAUGCAGCGACGCCGCGUGGGGGAUGACGGCCUUCGGGUUGUAAACUCCUUUCGACCGCGAGGAAGCCACCUGGUUGGAAGGGUGGUGACGGUAGUGGUAGAAGAAGCACCGGCUAACUACGUG
rnacentral:rRNA from 1 species